GAUGAAGAACGUAGCGAAAUGCGAUAAGUAAUGUGAAUUGCAGAAUUCAGUGAAUCAUCGAAUCUUUGAACGCACAUUGCGCCCCCCAGUAUUCUGGCGGGCAUGCCUGUUCGAGCGUCAUUUCAACCAUCAAGCCCUGCUUGUGUUGGGGUCCUGCGGCUGCCCGCAGGCCCUGAAAACCAGUGGCGGGCUCGCUAGUCACACCGAGCGCAGUAGCACAUCUCGCUCGGGGCGUGCGGCGGGCUCCAGCCGUUAAAGCACCCACCUUUCGCAAGGUUGACCUCGGAUCAGGUAGGAAUACCCGCUGAACUUAAGCAUAUCAAUAAGCGGAGGA
rnacentral:misc_RNA from 1 species